CUUGCGUGAGGCAACCCGGGGCCGGGCGAGUGGGAUCUGCCACCGUCACCAAACAACUGUGGGGUUUUGCUUUUGUUCCUUUACAGACUCAAUUCAGGUGGUUUGCAUUUGCAAAGUGCCCGGAUUCAGUCUCCCUCCGCUCCGUUGACGUCACGGCUGAAGCUGUCAGCCCCCGGCGCGGACCUGUCAAUCACCCGAAGUUGUGCAAGGGGAAGGAGCGGCGGCCGCCGCUGCAAUGUGUUGUGGCAUUAGCAGCGAUUUCAUUCCGCACGUCAUCGUAAUUCUACAGAGUCGGGUGUUGCUGCAGUCUACAUUAGAAGCAUGACCUAGAGGACAGCUGUAAAUUAUAUACAGGUUAACAAAGUGAUGAAGAUCUGUGGCAGCAAGUGUUAUACAUCUUGAUUUUAUAAAGCAUCAACAUUUAUCAAAUACUUUAUCAAAGUGGCUUAAUAAACAGUAAAAUUCUACCUUUAUCUUUACCAACAUUACCAAUAUUACUAAACAGACAUUUACCCAGAUGCCUCAAAAGAAAUCAGAAUUACCAAUAAUGGUUCAUACAAUAUAGAAGUUGAUUUUUCCAAGAAGAUUUUACAUGGAACUAGCAAAUGAAUGUAAUUUCAUUGAAUUAAAGCAACAUAUAUAUUCCCCAUUUUAUCCUGUAUGCUGUAUUCCCUUGUUUUACUGAGGAGUAUUUUUAACUGUAAUUUCAAACUCUCCUUUGUUCACCAUGUAUGGCAAUAGACAACACCGUCAGCGUUUAAGAGCUAGUACUUUGCGAUAAUACAAUUAUUCAUGUGCUGCAUUUCUUUAAACAUAAAGUUGGUAAUAGUUCAAUUAUUAGAAUAAGUGUAGCAAUUACAGUUUUCUUUCUGCUUAGGUAAAGUUAUACUGCACACAUAAACACUGUAAUUGGGCGUAAACAUCACACUUUUGUUACUUUUAAUUUCAAAAACUCACCAAUGCCUUU